rnacentral:rRNA from 1 species
GACGAACGCUGGCGGCGUGCCUAAUACAUGCAAGUAGGACGCAGUUGCGAACGGGUGAGUAACGCGUCGGUAACUGCCUAUUAGAGGGGGGUAACUAUUGGAAACGAUACCUACUACCGCAUACUAGUAGAUGGACCUUCGUUGUAUUAGCUAGUAGGUAGGGUACUGGCCUCCCUAGGCGACGGUACAUAGCCGAGUUGAGAGGGUGGUCGGCCACACUUGGACUGAUGAACGGGCCAGACUCCUACCGGAGGCAGCCGUAGGGAAUCUUCGGCAAUGGGGGGAAACCUGACCGAGCAACGCCGCGUGGGUGAAGAAGGUUUUCGGAUCGUAAAGCUCUGUUGUUAAGGAAGCGGUACUUAACCAGAAAGGGACGGCUAACUACGUGCCAGCAGCCGCGGUAAUAC